CUCUGAGUGUUGUCAAAGGUCAUGUGUGAGUGCAGGGCUCUCUGAGUGUUGUUAAAGGUCAAAGGUUGUGUGUGUGCAGGGCUCUAUGAGUGUUGUCAAAGGUCAUGUGUGUGCGCAGGGCUCUCUGUGUGUUGUUAAAGGUCAAAGGUCAUGUGUGUGUGCAGGGCUCUCUG